GAUGAACGCUGGCGGCGUGCCUAAUACAUGCAAGUCGAGCGAACAGACGAGGAGCUUGCUCCUCUGACGUUAGCGGCGGACGGGUGAGUAACACGUGGAUAACCUACCUAUAAGACUGGGAUAACUUCGGGAAACCGGAGCUAAUACCGGAUAAUAUAUUGAACCGCAUGGUUCAAUAGUGAAAGACGGUUUUGCUGUCACUUAUAGAUGGAUCCGCGCCGCAUUAGCUAGUUGGUAAGGUAACGGCUUACCAAGGCAACGAUGCGUAGCCGACCUGAGAGGGUGAUCAGCCACACUGGAACUGAGACACGGUCCAGACUCCUACGGGAGGCAGCAGUAGGGAAUCUUCCGCAAUGGGCGAAAGCCUGACGGAGCAACGCCGCGUGAGUGAUGAAGGUCUUCGGAUCGUAAAACUCUGUUAUUAGGGAAGAACAAAUGUGGAAGUAACUAUGCACGUCUUGACGGUACCUAAUCAGAAAGCCACGGCUAACUACGUG
rnacentral:rRNA from 1 species